AGCAGCCACUCAUUAAAAGAGUGCGUAAUAGCUCACUGGUCGAGUGACUCUGCGCGGAAAAUAUAACGGGGCUAAGCAUACAACCGAAGCUUGGGAUUGUCUAAAGACGGUGGUAGGGGAGCGUCGUGUAUGGGGUGAAGUCGCAUCGGAAGGAGCGGUGGACUGUACACGAGUGAGAAUGCCGGAAUGAGUAGCGAGAAUUAUGUGGGAAUCAUAAUGGCCGAAAAUCUAAGGUUUCUUGGGGAAGGUUCGUCCGCCCAAGGUAAGCCGGGAGCUAAGGCGAGGCCGCAAGGCGUAGUCGAUGCACAUACGGUAAAGAUUCCGUAGCCGCCGAACUUUAAGUCAGAGGGACACUUGCAGAUAGCGGAACCCAGCCGUUGGUUGAGCUGGGCGAAAGGGACUGAAAUUAGUAGGGAAGUCCGCGAUGCUGAAAGGCGAGAAAAGCUCUGAUGGAUACUAAGGCGCCCGUACCGCAAACCGACACAGGUAGAUGAGGAGAGAAUCCUAAGGCCAACGGGAGAAGGGUUGUUAAGGAACUCGGCAAAUUGACCCCGUAACUUCGGAAGAAGGGGAGCCCCCUACGGGGGGUCGCAGAGAAAUGGCCCAAGCAACUGUUUACCAAAAACACAGGUCUAUGCUAAAUCGAAAGAUGACGUAUAUGGGCUGACGCCUGCCCGGUGCCGGAAGGUUAAGAGGAGAGCUUAGCGCAAGCGAAGGUUUGAAUUGAAGCCCCGGUAAACGGCGGCCGUAACUAUAACGGUCCUAAGGUAGCGAAAUUCCUUGUCAGGUAAGUUCUGACCCGCACGAAAGGCGUAAUGAUUUGGGCACUGUCUCAACAGCCCGCCCGGCGAAAUUGUAGUACUGGUGAAGAUGCCAGUUACCCGCAACUAGACGGAAAGACCCCAUGGAGCUUUACUGCAGCUUAAUACUGAAAUUCGGUAGUACAUGUACAGGAUAGGUGGGAGACUGAGAAAUACAGGCGUCAGCUUGUAUGGAGUCGCUGUUGGGAUACCACUCUUGUACUGCUGGGUUUCUAACCUGCGGCCGUGAAUCCGGUCGGGGGACACUGUUAGGCGGGCAGUUUGACUGGGGCGGUCGCCUCCAAAAAGGUAACGGAGGCGCUCAAAGGUUCGUUCAGCACGGACGGAAAUCGUGCAUUGAGUGUAAACGCAUAAACGAGCCUAACUGCGAGACCGACGGGUCGAGCAGUAACGAAAGUUGGAGUUAGUGAUCCGGUGGUAUGUGAGUGGAAAUGCCAUCGCUCAACGGAUAAAAGUUACCCUGGGGAUAACAGGCUGAUCUCCCCCAAGAGUCCACAUCGACGGGGAGGUUUGGCACCUCGAUGUCGGCUCAUCGCAUCCUGGGGCUGUAUUCGGUCCCAAGGGUUUGGCUGUUCGCCAAUUAAAGCGG
rnacentral:rRNA from 1 species